UAGGGAAUCUUCGGCAAUGGGGGCAACCCUGACCGAGCAACGCCGCGUGAGUGAAGAAGGUUUUCGGAUCGUAAAGCUCUGUUGUAAGAGAAGAACGUGUGUGAGAGUGGAAAGUUCACACAGUGACGGUAACUUACCAGAAAGGGACGGCUAACUACGUGCCAGCAGCCGCGGUAAUACGUAGGUCCCGAGCGUUGUCCGGAUUUAUUGGGCGUAAAGCGAGCGCAGGCGGUUUAAUAAGUCUGAAGUUAAAGGCAGUGGCUUAACCAUUGUUCGCUUUGGAAACUGUUAAACUUGAGUGCAGAAGGGGAGAGUGGACUUCCAUGUGUAGCGGUGAAAUGCGUAGAUAUAUGGAGGAACACCGGUGGCGAAAGCGGCUCUCUGGUCUGUAACUGACGCUGAGGCUCGAAAGCGUGGGGAGCAAACAGG
rnacentral:rRNA from 1 species